rnacentral:rRNA from 1 species
UUAGGGUUCGAUUCCGGAGAGGGAGCCUGAGAAACGGCUACCACAUCUAAGGAAGGCAGCAGGCGCGCAAAUUACCCAAUCCUAAUACAGGGAGGUAGUGACAAGAAAUAACAAUACAGAACCUUACGGUUUUGUAAUUGGAAUGAGUUAAGUAUAAACCCCUUAACAAGUAUCAAUUGGAGGGCAAGUCUGGUGCCAGCAGCCGCGGUAAUUCCAGCUCCAAUAGCGUAUAUUAAAGUUGUUGCAGUUAAAAAGCUCGUAGUUAAUCUUCUGUUAAUUUUUAUAUAUAAUAUCUCGAUAUUUAUAUAAUAUUAACAUAAUUCAUAUUACUUUUUAGUAUAUGAAACUUUACUUUGAGAAAAUUAGAGUGCUUAAAGCAGGCUAUUGCCUUGAAUACUCCAGCAUGGAAUAAUAUUAAGGAUUUUUAUUCUUCUUAUUGGUUCUAGAAUAAAAAUGAUGAUUAAUAGGAACAGUUGGGGGCAUUUGUAUUUAACAGUCAGAGG